AUUGAACGCUGGCGGCAUGCUUUACACAUGCAAGUCGAACGGUAACAGGCCGCAAGGUGCUGACGAGUGGCGAACGGGUGCGUAAUGCAUCGGAACGUGCCCAGUCGUGGGGGAUAACUACUCGAAAGAGUAGCUAAUACCGCAUACGAUCUAUGGAUGACAGCGGGGGACCGUAAGGCCUCGCGCGAUUGGAGCGGCCGAUGUCAGAUUAGGUAGUUGGUGGGGUAAAGGCUCACCAAGCCAACGAUCUGUAGCUGGUCUGAGAGGACGACCAGCCACACUGGGACUGAGACACGGCCCAGACUCCUACGGGAGGCAGCAGUGGGGAAUUUUGGACAAUGGGCGCAAGCCUGAUCCAGCAAUGCCGCGUGCAGGAAGAAGGCCUUCGGGUUGUAAACUGCUUUUGUACGGAAAGAAACGGCUCUGGUUAAUACCCGGGGCUAAUGACGGUACCGUAAGAAUAAGCACCGGCUAACUACGUG
rnacentral:rRNA from 1 species